rnacentral:tRNA from 1 species
GGAAGCGUGGCAGAGAGGCCGAAUGCACCGGUUUUGAAAACCGGAAGGUCCGAAAGGGCCUCGGAGGUUCGAAUCCUCCCGCUUCCG